GCACUAGUGGGUUAGUGGUAAACUUGGUCGUUGCCAUAUUCUUGAUUUCGACCAGCCCCCGGUUCAAUUCCGGGCUAGUGCA